rnacentral:rRNA from 1 species
ACGAACGCUGGCGGCGUGCUUAACACAUGCAAGUCGAGCGGUAAGGCCCUUUCGGGGGUACACGAGCGGCGAACGGGUGAGUAACACGUGGGUGACCUGCCCUUAGCUCUGGGAUAAGCCUGGGAAACUGGGUCUAAUACCGGAUAUGACUCCAUGACGCAUGUUGUGGGGUGGAAAGCCUUGUGCGGCUAGGGAUGGGCCUGCGGCCUAUCAGCUUGUUGGUGGGGUGAUGGCCUACCAAGGCGACGACGGGUAGCCGGCCUGAGAGGGCGACCGGCCACACUGGGACUGAGACACGGCCCAGACUCCUACGGGAGGCAGCAGUGGGGAAUCUUGCGCAAUGGGCGAAAGCCUGACGCAGCGACGCCGCGUGGGGAUGACGGCCU